GARACACGGCCCAGACUCCUACGGGAGGCAGCAGUAGGAAUCUUCCGCAAUGGACGAAAGUCUGACGGAGCAACGCCGCGUGAGUGAUGAAGGUUUUCGGAUCGUAAAACUCUGUUGUUAGGGAAGAACAAGUGCGAGAGUAACUGCUCGCACCUUGACGGUACCUAACCAGAAAGCCACGGCUAACUACGUGCCAGCAGCCGCGGUAAUACGUAGGUGGCAAGCGUUGUCCGGAAUUAUUGGGCGUAAAGCGCGCGCAGGCGGUUUCUUAAGUCUGAUGUGAAAGCCCCCGGCUCAACCGGGGAGGGUCAUUGGAAACUGGGAAACUUGAGUGCAGAAGAGGAGAGUGGAAUUCCACGUGUAGCGGUGAAAUGCGUAGAGAUGUGGAGGAACACCAGUGGCGAAGGCGACUCUCUGGUCUGUAACUGACGCUGAGGCGCGAAAGCGUGGGGAGCGAACAGGAUUAGAUACCCUGGUAGUCCACGCCGUAAACGAUGAGUGCUAAGUGUUAGAGGGUUUCCGCCCUUUAGUGCUGCAGCUAACGCAUUAAGCACUCCGCCUGGGGAGUACGGUCGCAAGACUGAAACUCAAAGGAAUUGACGGGGGCCCGCACAAGCGGUGGAGCAUGUGGUUUAAUUCGAAGCAACGCGAAGAACCUUACCAGGUCUUGACAUCCUUUGCCACUUCUAGAGAUAGAAGGUUCCCCUUCGGGGGACAAAGUGACAGGUGGUGCAUGGUUGUCGUCAGCUCGUGUCGUGAGAUGUUGGGUUAAGUCCCGCAACGAGCGCAACCCUUGAUCUUAGUUGCCAGCAUUCAGUUGGGCACUCUAAGGUGACUGCCGGUGACAAACCGGAGGAAGGUGGGGAUGACGUCAAAUCAUCAUGCCCCUUAUGACCUGGGCUACACACGUGCUACAAUGGAUGGUACAAAGGGCUGCGAGACCGCGAGGUUUAGCCAAUCCCAUAAAACCAUUCUCAGUUCGGAUUGCAGGCUGCAACUCGCCUGCAUGAAGCUGGAAUCGCUAGUAAUCGCGGAUCAGCAUGCCGCGGUGAAUACGUUCCCGGGCCUUGUACACACCGCCCGUCACACCACGAGAGUUUGCAACACCCGAAGUCGGUGGGGUAACCGCAAGGAGCCAGCCG
rnacentral:rRNA from 1 species